AGCCAGUAUUUUCUGUAGUAUGAUUUAAAAGCGUAGACUAUCUCUUGGCCACAAGGAUGGUAAAUUUCUGUAGAAUUUACAGGAAGGAAAACAACAGUCGUGUUUACCAACUUUCGCUCGGAAUUGCGAAUAUUUUCCAAAGCGCAUUCAUGAGCGACAAACUUAUCCAGUAUAAGUAGAACUUUCCUACCCUUCAUCAAAUCGUCAAACCAACGAAGCCAUUCUUCCAUAAUGGAAGUGGUCAUCCUAGCGGUUCCAUUAUAUCGCCAAUGAAAAUCCAUGGAAUCAGGAUGAGCAUUUGCUUGCCGAAAGGCCCUUGGACUUUUAGCAUAUCCAAUCACCCAAAGAGGGGCCUUUUCAGAACCUGUAGCAUUACAACAAAUAGUGACGGUGACACGAGCCUUAUCUCUCGUAAUUCCUUUUACUCGUUCACUCGCAGGAGAUUGAUUGGGAAUAAGUUUCCAGCAUAGCCCCGUCUCAUCCAUAUUAAAGAUGUCUUUUGGAUCAAAAAGACUUAUUAAUUCCUGUAUUUGAACCAUGUUUUCCUCAUACGUUCCUUGAUUUACUGAAGUAGAUUCACCCUGUAACUUAAGGCCGUGUUUUAAACAACGCUUUUUGAACUUCUCUAACCAACCGUUACUAAAUUCUGGAAUCGGAAGCUCAGAGUACUCCGGUAUACGUCUCCACAAUUCUGCGGCGCUUUUUUUGAUGGCGUUUCCAGUAAUUGCUCCGUCUUGUUUUUGCAACCUCGUUUGCCAGUCAAUAAGGGCGUUUUCUAAGAUAGGAUAUUUUCCUUGGCGGUUUCUUCUUAUUUGAGAGUUUUCUGCGUCUAGAUUAUCUAAAAAUUCGUUCUUUGAUGAUAGAAUUGACGAAACGGUAGAUUGUGCUAGCUUUUUAUGAAAGUGCUCCUCGAACCAACUAAUAAGCUCUUGUUGCGAAGGUUUAGUUGCUGACUCAAAAUAAUGUUUUCUAAUUGCUUUUUUUUCAGCUAAAGUCAACGCUUGACGCCUCAAUGGAGGCAUUCUCUCAAGUUUACGAAAAAAUCGUUGUAAGGGAGGUAAUCGCGGCUGUCGUGGAUGAUAUGGAUGAUAUCCCGAUAUGUUUGUGAUAUUUGAUAU